AUUUGGUGCUGGGGGCACUGUCUGCACGACUUCUUGAAACGCUCCCAGUACUCAUAGAGCGACUCCCCUGGAUAUUGCUUGACACCGCAAAUUUCUUUUCUUAGACU